UACGAAGGGGGCUAGCGUUGCUCGGAAUCACUGGGCGUAAAGCGCACGUAGGCGGAUCUUUAAGUCAGGGGUGAAAUCCUGGAGCUCAACUCCAGAACUGCCUUUGAUACUGGCGAUCUCGAGUCCGGGAGAGGUGAGUGGAACUGCGAGUGUAGAGGUGAAAUUCGUAGAUAUUCGCAAGAACACCAGUGGCGAAGGCGGCUCACUGGCCCGGUACUGACGCUGAGGUGCGAAAGCGUGGGGAGCAAACAGG
rnacentral:rRNA from 1 species